AGCGAACGCUGGCGGCAGGCUAAACACAUGCAAGUCGAGCGGACCCUUCGGGGUCAGCGGCGGACGGGUGAGUAACGCGUGGGAACGUGCCUUCUGGUCUGGAAUAACCCUGGGAAACUAGGGCUAAUACCGGAUACGCCCUUUUGGGGAAAGGUUUACUGCCGGAAGAUCGGCCCGCGUCUGAUUAGCUAGCUGGUGGGGUAACGGCCUACCAAGGCGACGAUCAGUAGCUGGUCUGAGAGGAUGAUCAGCCACACUGGGACUGAGACACGGCCCAGACUCCUACGGGAGGCAGCAGUGGGGAAUAUUGGACAAUGGGCGCAAGCCUGAUCCAGCCAUGCCGCGUGAGUGAUGAAGGCCUUAGGGUUGUAAAGCUCUUUUAUCCGGGGCGAUAAUGACGGUACCGGAGAAGAAGCCCCGGCUAACUUCGUGCCAGCCGCCGCCAUAA
rnacentral:rRNA from 1 species